GCAAAGUGUGCUCCCUUUAGCCUGCGGGGAAUAUACCAGUCUGCUUCUUGACUCUCCUGAGGCCCCCACUUCCCACUCUUUUUCAAUAGGGCAGUUUGCAACCUGUGUUAUAAAGAGUUUGGAAGAAACUGAAGAAACAUCUGCAAACGUCCUUGAUGGGACAGUAUUUCCAUAGGAACCAGGACCCAGAAAUUCUGCAUAAUGCAGACUCAUUUCCAGGGACCCACAGAAUCUAACUGGGGAAUGGGUGUGAGGUGCUAGCCCAUCGUGGCUUUGGUUUACGUGUACAAGCCAUGAUUUGGAGACAACCAAUGUAUUUGUCAAAGGAUGGAGAAAAUGUGGUAUGUACAUAUAAUGGGCUAUUGUUUAGUCACAAAAAGAAGGCAAUCCUGCCACUUGCAACAACAUGGAUGUCCUUAGAGGACAUUAUGCUUAGUGAAACAAGUCAGAGAAAGGCAAACACCAUAUGAUCUCACCUAUAUGUGGAAUCUAGAAAAAAAAGUUGAACUUUUAGAACCAGAGAGUAAAAUGAUGUUUGCCAAUGGUAGGGAAAUAGGAAAAUGUUGAUCAAAGAAGUACAAAUUUCAGAUACAAGAUUAAUAAGUUCUGAGGAUUUAAUAUACAGCAU